UGUCCUGGACAGACCCAGGGAUUUGUAGCAAAGGCCUUUUUAGGAGCUUGUGAACUGAGCAUGGAGACAGACCCACCAGUGGCAAAAGCUGGAGGAGACAUCAGAGGGCUGACAGAGAUGUUGGCAAGGAGAAGCUGCAAGAGUGAAGCUGGACCAAGAGAGCCAGGAGUCACCCAUCAUCCAGCCCAGAGCUACAGCAACAGGAAAAGACAAGGCAAUCGAUCUUACUAACUCCCUUGGCGACGUGACCGAGGAACAUUAAGCACUGCAUCACAAGGCUGCUGUACUCUGAAAGCCUGAGGUUGAUCAAAAAAAGGAAACCUGAAGGAAGCUUACAGACCCAAGCCACCAAAUAUCCAAAUCCUGAAGGACUCAUCAGCUGUUAGGAGAUUUACUGUAAAACCACAAGGAUUUGCAGUGGUUAUUGACCAGCCAUAUGCUCAGCUCAGUGCAGUGCCCUUUUGCACUUCUGACCAAGCUGCCUAUCUGUCCACUUUAAAGCUCGCCCUGCUGGCAAGAGUUUACAUUAGCUCAGCUACAGCGAGGACAUCAGAUUCAUUCCCUAUUUGCCCUUUUCAGUAUUCACAAAUAAAAUUUGUCCAGUGUGAUAGAUGCGGUUGCUAGUGGUGUCUAAAAACCUCAUAACUGAGGAUGCAAUAAGGCAAGAUGGAAGCAAAUCUCCAAUCAACACCAUGAACUACUAUGUGCAGGAAAAGUAUCUUGGAGAUUCAUUCUGCAAACAGAACCCCUGGCUUUUCUUCAUCUUUUCCUUUGCUUAAAUGGGGAGGACAGAAGAGAUGCUCACCUGAAAACACUUAGAACAUAAAAUCUCCAUGCUUUGUAUUGGCAGUGAGAGCAAAAAGCUGUCAUGCAUCCUCUUCGUCUUCUCCUUGGAAGUGCAGCAUUGCAUCUCUGUGAUGCAGACCUGGAGCACAUGGUUUGGUCAGGCUGAGUGUGUAAGGGCUAAAGCACAGCAGCCAGUGGGCCCUCCAUCCUAUUUUUAGUCAUGCACUCUGUACCUGAAGCACCCUUGGCUGGCUGCUGGUGGUGAGUAAAGCCCAGAAAGCCAGUAACCUUUCUUAGGUCAUGCUCUCAUGGGUGAUGCAUGGGGUGAAGGGCGCUUUGCAGGCUCCUGCUGCUGCCCAAAAGCUUGUAAAGCCUCCAGAAGGAAAAGCAGGGCAAGGGGGAGGCUUUGUAGGAAGCUCAAAGCUCUAACAGAUCGUUUAUUUCUGCUUAAUUGCCAAGGAUGUGAAGCAAUUGUUGACGAGGGUGCGAGAGAAGGGAAGUGCCCUUUCCCACCUUCUCAACCUGCUCGUGGUUGCAUAAGCCUCAAAGCGCAGAGCCUGAGGUUGCUAUGCCAACUUGCACAGUUCCUCCCAUCCACCUCCCCAUCUGAACAAUGCCUGAAGGAGAGGAGUCCAUCCUGGAACAAAGCAAACGCUGGGACCGGCUGGCAGCAGAGGCUCUGCUCCAUCAGUGGAGCAGACUGAAGGACUCUGUGAGCUGUGUGUGCCCACAGCCCUGGUGCCACGGAUGAGAGGCUGCACCACAGCAACUGGUUUGCAGCACUUCUAUUUCAGUGUCCCGAGUGCUUUACCUUCGCUGCUGAAUUUGGUUUCGAGCCCUCGCUGACAGCACAGAGUCUGUGCUGUUACCCAUCAAAGGAAUCACAAGUUCAGCAUGAGUCUGUGCGCCUGCUUUCCCUUCUGUAGCAUUAAAAUAAAGUGCUUUUCAAAGGCACUGGGAAGGAGGAAUCGCUAUUUCCAGGUGCUUACAUAAACGGCCUUCAAGUGCAAAAUUGGAAAAACUUGAACUCCUUAGGCUCUUCACCUACCCCUUCUCUUAAGAAGGACACUAUAUGGACCUAGGUGGUAGGCUAAAAGGGUCAAAAUCUUGAAAGAGAACAAAAAAGCAGUGUGACUUAGGUCUAUGCUGCAUAGAAGAGGCUGGCAGAUGAAGCAGUUCCCUGGUUUUGCAUGUUAUCUUAAUUAGCAGUGAUUUCCAGAACAAAUUCUUAUGGUUAGCCCCUUUCCCAUCUUUCUUUGACCUCACACAUAAACCUCAAACUCUUUUCUCUAC